AUUGGGACGUUGUAGCCGUCGUUCUUCUGCAUGCAGGCACAUGUGAAGUAAUCAGCCUUGGCUUGAUAUUGCUGCAGUGUGGAAGUGUAUGCUCCUCCACCUCCAUCCAUCAAUACCUACACACAUUUCAGACCACAAGAACAAUCUGAACUCCAGCAUACUUGUUGUCCCAAGAGAACUCCUUCACAGCCCAUCCAGUUCCACCCAAUGACUCACAGUUUUCGACGACAUAUUUCAGAUAAUACUCGUCAUUUGUAGCGCGAUACAGCCACGUUGCAGCCCACAGCAGCUCAUCCUAGGAUGCAAAAGUGCCAGAGUCAGUUCAAGAAACACAACAUUUUUUGAAGAAAAAAUAAUCUUGGAGAUGGAUUCAAACACAUACUGAAUAACCAGUUGAUGUAUAGAACUGCUUUGCACAUGGAACAGAAUCAUGGUAAAAGCCUCUGAAUCUGUCUGCAAAUGAGAAAAGCUGCUUAGCAUGCACUAGCAGAAGGUCAGAGUAGGCGGAAUCAUAAGGCUUGAAGGCAAGGCAGGCAGCGGCCAGGGCAGCAGCGGUUUCUCCCGCGAGGUCCGACCCGGGAUGCUCGGGAUCCAGCUUGUACGCCGUCCUUGGGCUUGUCAUAUCCUCUGCACGCUCCCAGCAGUAAUGGUCCGACACUCCGUCUCCGACCUGCCAUUGUCAGAACCGGAAAGAAGUAGUUGUAAAGUUGUCACACAUGCGGUCUAGUCGGUGGAGUGACGAGCUUAUGAUCAUAAAAUAGUGUAGGAUUGUGUACCUGUCCCCAAAGAACAUUAGGCUGAGGAUGAGCUUUUAUGAAGUAAUCUGUGCCCCAUUUGAUGGCUUCCAAAGUGGGUCCCAUUUGAUUGGACUUCACCAACUCUGUCUUGAAAUCAACGGCGCUCCACGACAGCAUCGUCGAAGCGAACGCCAUGGGCAGCCCGAACUUUACAUGAUCUCCCCCAUCGUAAUAUCCUCCAACCAAGUUCACCUGUUAAUGUAGAGAAAACGUGUUUUAUGUUUAUGCGCUUACUCGUAUUUUCGCACCCAAAAGAAGAUUAGAUUGUGUGAAGUCUAAGGUACGAACCCCUUGGCCAUGACCGUCGCCAAGGCCUGAGUCACCGCGCCAUUUUACAUGCUGGUUCGCAGGUAGUUUACCCGACCGUUGUGCCUCGAAGAACAACAAAGUCUUGCUGAGGGCGUCACCGUAGUCGAAUGCAGAGAUGAUGGUUGGGUGGAGGGAAAGUAAGGCAGCGAGCAAGGGCAGUAUGUAACGUGAUCGUGAUGAUGACUCUCUCAUCAUCUUGUUUUGUAUUGAGCAAGCUAAUGAGAUGAUCAAUUCUAUGUACGAUAUAUAUGAAUCAUCUCUCUCUAUAUAGUUUGAAUAUUAUUAGUCAUUUAUUUUGUAAUUAGAUACGAAACAUAAUGAACUAUUUGAUUCAUGAUAUGAGCAGAGAGUCAUGGUAGCAUCCACGUUCUUUGA